UAGUGUUAUAGCUCUUUUAGAAUUUGUUUAGCAGAUUUUCCAGUCUCUACCGGAAGAUAUAA
rnacentral:snRNA from 1 species